GAAAAACAUGGGUUUUGGCCAUGUGUAGCAAAAUAGGCACGUAAGGUGGAGGCUUCAAUUGUUCUCCAACAGUGAGUUCAAGGUAACUAGAAUGUGGGGAUAUUCGAGUCAGGAGUCCAAUGUAGCCAAGAUUCUGUGGAUCUAAUGAAUGACGUUGUAGCAUAGUACUUGGGAUGUUAUGGCUGAAGUUCGACGCG